UGGUAUGUCUCUCACCGACUUCUAGAAUGC
rnacentral:piRNA from 1 species